CCUACGGGAGGCAGCAGUGGGGGAUAUUGCACAAUGGGGGAAACCCUGAUGCAGCGACGCCGCGUGGGUGAAGAAGUAUUUCGGUAUGUAAAGCCCUAUCAGCAGGGAAGAAAGAAGACGGUACCUGACUAAGAAGCCCCGGCUAACUACGUGCCAGCAGCCGCGGUAAUACGUAGGGGGCGAGCGUUAUCCGGAUUCACUGGGUGUAAAGGGAGCGUAGACGGCCGUGCAAGCCAGGAGUGAAGGCCCGGGGCCCAACCCCGGGACUGCUCUUGGAACUGUGCGGCUGGAGUGCGGGAGGGGCAGGCGGAAUUCCUGGGGUAGCGGUGAAAUGCGUAGAUAUCAGGAGGAACACCGGCGGCGAAGGCGGCCUGCUGGACCGCGACUGACGUUGAGGCUCGAAAGCGUGGGGAGCGAACAGGAUUAGAUACCCGAGUAGUC
rnacentral:rRNA from 1 species